rnacentral:rRNA from 1 species
AUUGAACGCUGGCGGCAGGCCUAACACAUGCAAGUCGAGCGAGCGGCGGACGGGUGAGGAAUGUAUGGGGGCUGGCAGAUAGAGGGGGAGAACGACAGGAAGCGGUAGUUAAUAACGCGUACUAUCGGAUAAGGCAGAUGGGGUUAGCUAGUAGGUGGGGUAAUGGCCCACCUAGGCGACGAUCCCUAGCUGGUCUGAGAGGAUGAUCAGCCACACUGGGACUGAGACACGGCCCAGACUCCUACGGAGGCAGCAGUGGGGAAUAUUGCACAAUGGGCGCAAGCCUGAUGCAGCCAUGCCGCGUGUAUGAAGAAGGCCCUAGGAUUGUAAAGUACUUUCAGUCGGGAGGCGUUACCGACAGAAUAAGCACCGGCUAACUCCGUGCCAGCAGCCGCGGUAAUUC